rnacentral:rRNA from 1 species
UACGUAGGGGGCUAGCGUUGUCCGGAAUCAUUGGGCGUAAAGCGCGCGUAGGUGGCUUCGUAAGUCCGUUGUGAAAGUCAAAGGCUCAACCUUUGAAAGCCGAUGGAUACUGCGGAGCUAGAGUACGGAAGAGGCGAGUGGAAUUCCUGGUGUAGCGGUGGAAUGCGCAGAUAUCAGGAGGAACACCAAUAGCGAAGGCAGCUCGCUGGGACGUUACUGACACUGAGGCGCGAAAGCGUGGGGAGCGAACAGG